GAUUUGAGACCAAUAAUUGAAAAGGAAGAUAUGAAAUUAUGCUCCAAUCAAUCUUGACUGUUUACUGGACAACAAUAUUAGAUACUGGCCAAGUCUCUAGCGAACAGGCAUGCAGCCUGGCCUUCAUGAAUACGGACUGUGGUACCAACAAGACCCCGGAAGACUACCUCUGUAUCAACUUGCCCCUCUACUUUCUGGGAAGAGAAAUGUGGCAGCCAU
rnacentral:lncRNA from 1 species